rnacentral:rRNA from 1 species
AACUGAAGAGUUUGAUCCUGGCUCAGAUUGAACGCUGGCGGCAUGCUUUACACAUGCAAGUCGAACGGCAGCACGGGGGCAACCCUGGUGGCGAGUGGCGAACGGGUGAGUAAUGCAUCGGAACGUAUCCUUAAGUGGGGGAUAACGCACCGAAAGGUGUGCUAAUACCGCAUAAUCUCUGAGGAGAAAAGCAGGGGAUCGCAAGACCUUGCGCUUUUGGAGCGGCCGAUGUCUGAUUAGCUAGUUGGUGAGGUAAAGGCUUACCAAGGCGUCGAUCAGUAGCUNGUCU